rfam:Cathartes aura contig1823, whole genome shotgun sequence.
GAAGUGGUUUUUUUUAAAACCACAAUAAAUUUUAUAUUUGUUACUG